CAUAGAAUGCAGUCGAACGGAAGUCGUUAUAAAAAGGAUUGAAGAUUUAUCUGAUUGAGAUUUUAUAACAAUGGCUUUAGUGGCGGACUGGUGAGUAACGCGUGAGCAACCUGCCUACUAGAGGGGAAUAACAGUGAGAAAUCACUGCUAAUACCGCAUAUGCCAUGAACAUCACAUGAUGAAAAUGGGAAAAGAGUAAUCUGCUAGUAGAUGGGCUCGCGUCUGAUUAGAUAGUUGGUGGGGCAACGGCCUACCAAGUCGACGAUCAGUAGCCGGACUGAGAGGUUGAACGGCCACAUUGGGACUGAGAUACGGCCCAGACUCCUACGGAAGGCAGCAGUCGGGAAUAUUGCGCAAUGGAGGAAACUCUGACGCAGUGACGCCGCGUAUAGGAAGAAGGUUUUCGGAUUGUAAACUAUUGUCGUUAGGGAAGAUAAAAGACAGUACCUAAGGAGGAAGCUCCGGCUAACUACGUGCCAGCAGCCGCGGUAAUACGUAGGGAGCAAGCGUUAUCCGGAUUUAUUGGGUGUAAAGGGUGCGUAGACGGGUUAGCAAGUUAGUUGUGAAAGCCCUCGGCUUAACUGAGGAACUGCAACUAAAACUGUUAAUCUUGAGUGUUGGAGAGGAAAGUGGAAUUCCUAGUGUAGCGGUGAAAUGCGUAGAUAUUAGGAGGAACACCGGUGGCGAAGGCGACUUUCUGGACAAUAACUGACGUUGAGGCACGAAAGUGUGGGGAGCAAACAGGAUUAGAUACCCUGGUAGUCCACACCGUAAACGAUGGAUACUAGGUGUAGGGAAUUAUUUAAUUUUCUGUGCCGUCGCAAACGCAAUAAGUAU
rnacentral:rRNA from 1 species